UACGGGGGGGGCAAGCGUUGUUCGGAAUUACUGGGCGUAAAGGGCUCGUAGGCGGCCAAGUAAGUCAGACGUGAAAUCCCUCGGCUUAACCGGGGAACUGCGUCUGAUACUGGAUGGCUUGAAUCCGGGAGAGGGAUGCGGAAUUCCAGGUGUAGCGGUGAAAUGCGUAGAUAUCUGGAGGAACACCGGUGGCGAAGGCGGCAUCCUGGACCGGAAUUGACGCUGAGGAGCGAAAGCCUGGGGAGCAAACGGG
rnacentral:rRNA from 1 species